rnacentral:rRNA from 1 species
UACGUAGGGGGCAAGCGUUGUCCGGAUUUAUUGGGCGUAAAGAGCGUGUAGGCGGCCAGACAGGUCAGCUGUGAAAACUCGAGGCUCAACCUCGAGACGUCGGUUGAAACCGUCUGGCUAGAGUCCGGAAGAGGAGAGUGGAAUUCCCGGUGUAGCGGUGAAAUGCGCAGAUAUCGGGAAGAACACCCGUGGCGAAGGCGGCUCUCUGGGACGGUACUGGCGCUGAGGUGCGAAAGCGUGGGGAGCAAACAGG